UGAUAAUUCAAGCAGAGGUGAAUAAAGUUCGACCACUUUGAAGCAGUUUUCAGUUCAAGUAGUUAAUUCAGGACUUCAACACCGUUCGAUUGUUUUUAUUCCCGACUCCUGAAGUAAGAUGAAAACGACGUUUGCUUUUGUGCUGUUCCUGGUUGCUAUGACUACCAUCUUGUCUUCCACCACGCAUGCGCUGACGGCCCUAGAACACUGUCACUACGACUGCUACGAAAAUCUUGGCUGGUGUCUACGCUUUUGCCAUGGCUCCAACUGUCGAUACUGCGCUGACUGGUAUUCCUCAUGUCGCAAAAAGUGUGAUCGUCGAUCAAGGGAAGUAAUUUGAUCCGUGCCGGAAGUAAGCUACGCAACCGAAAGUGCAUUGUACAAAACUAAUGUACAAAACUUAAAUUGGAAUAGUAAGAUGGAUUAUUCAGAAAUAAAGUGAAAAUUCAUAAUUGAA